AUGCAACCAAAGUUUAAAUCCUUCGUAGAUUCACUGCCAGCAAACAGCAAAACAGUGGCCUGGCAAAGGGAGGUUUCGAAAGCCACAUUGCCCACGUUCUUGUCCACGUGCUCUAGGACAGGACCUCUGCACUCUUUCCCCAAUAUCGCAAAGAGCCCCGUAAGUGGUUACUUCGCCGAAUCGCCGAGCUGUGGCCAGCUGUUGCUAUGGCGACCAGAACCCGCUGACAACCAUCUCGAAGGGCCUCUGAGGAGGAGACUGCUUGGCUUCCAUUCACGCGCAGUUCAAACGGCUCACCCACAGGUCACCCUGCCUGGGACAGAUGCCUAAGGCCUCUCCCAUUGCCUACCAGCUCAGGCUGGAGAGGUGGAGGAGGCCAGUCACAGGGGCUGAGGGGCUCACCUGGGAGUCUGUAUAUGCUGGGGAGCCAACAAAGGUUGCGUGCGGCAUGUGCACUUUGGAUCAGAAGAGCCUGGGUGCUCAGGAGAGAAGCCACGAGGAUCUUCACUGGGCAGGGCCAGUAGGGAGGAACUGAGGACCUGGCCAAAGAGGCAUUGUAGAGGCCCUACAAUGGGCCUUUAGUGACAGAAGAGAGAGUGAGGGUGAAGGAGGAAGGGAAGGUUCUGGCAUAUGAAGUGACUGUGUAAGUCCUGGAGCAGGGGACAUUGGCCACCAUUCUCCAGAGUGGCCCUCAGUGAUCUCACCUCCUGAUAUCCCACACUAUAUCAGGACUGGCCUAUGUGACCACGAGCCACACAGGAAGGAGGAUGACAUAUGACCCAAAGCUAGGCCAUCAAAGACAUUGCAACUUUUCUGCCUUACUUCCUUUUCUCUGAUCAGCUCUGGGGAAAAGCCAGCUGCUACACUGUGGGAAUACAUAGCCUCAGGAAGAGGCCCUCAUGGCAUAGGACUGGGGCCUUCUGCCAAAACCCAGCGAGAUGCUGGGCUCUCCCACCAAUGGCUGUGCGAGCGAGCGGGAAACAGACCCUCCGGCCCCAGUCGGCUUCAGAUGCUGGCAGCCCCACCUGUAACCUCAAGGCAGGCCUUGAGCCAAACCAUCCAGCUAAGCUGCUCCGAAUUUUCUGACCCACAACAACCGUGAGAUAAUAAAUGUUUGCUAUUCCAAGCUGCUGGAUCUGGG
rnacentral:lncRNA from 1 species